rnacentral:misc_RNA from 1 species
AAGUCGUAACAAGGUUUCCGUAGGUGAACCUGCGGAAGGAUCAUUACCGAAGUACAGGCCCUGAAAAGGGCUAAACUUCCACCCUUUGUUAACUACACUUUGUUGCUUUGGCGCGCCCGCCCCCCGGGGCCACCGGCUUCGGCUGGUGAGCGCGCGCCAGAGGACCCCAAACCCAAACCUUUUUAGUGUCGUCUGAGAACAAGUUUAAAAUUAUUAAAACUUUCAACAACGGAUCUCUUGGCUCUG